GAUGAAGAACGCAGCGAAAUGCGAUAAGUAAUGUGAAUUGCAGAAUUCAGUGAAUCAUCGAAUCUUUGAACGCACAUUGCGCCCCCUGGUAUUCCGGGGGGCAUGCCUGUCCGAGCGUCAUUACAACCCUCAAGCUCAGCUUGGUGUUGGGCCCCGCCGCCCCGGCGGGCCCUAAAGUCAGUGGCGGUGCCGUCCGGCUCCGAGCGUAGUAAUUCUUCUCGCUCUGGAGGUCCGGUCGUGUGCUCGCCAGCAACCCCCAAUUUUUUUCAGGUUGGCCUCGGAUCAGGUAGGGAUACCCGCUGAACUUAAGCAUAUCAAUAAGCGGAGGA
rnacentral:misc_RNA from 1 species